rnacentral:rRNA from 1 species
GUGGGGAAUAUUGCACAAUGGGCGCAAGCCUGAUGCAGCGACGCCGCGUGAGGGAUGGAGGCCUUCGGGUUGUAAACCUCUUUUAUCGGGGAGCAAGCGAGAGUGAGUUUACCCGUUGAAUAAGCACCGGCUAACUACGUGCCAGCAGCCGCGGUAAUACGUAGGGUGCAAGCGUUAUCCGGAAUUAUUGGGCGUAAAGGGCUCGUAGGCGGUUCGUCGCGUCCGGUGUGAAAGUCCAUCGCUUAACGGUGGAUCCGCGCCGGGUACGGGCGGGCUUGAGUGCGGUAGGGGAGACUGGAAUUCCCGGUGUAACGGUGGAAUGUGUAGAUAUCGGGAAGAACACCAAUGGCGAAGGCAGGUCUCUGGGCCGUUACUGACGCUGAGGAGCGAAAGCGUGGGGAGCGAACAGGAUUAGAAACCCGUGUAGUCC